rnacentral:rRNA from 1 species
UACGUAGGUGGCAAGCGUUGUUCGGAUUCAUUGGGCGUAAAGGGCAUGUAGGCGGCUAAACAAGUGUGAAUUGAAAGACCGAGGCUUAACCUCGCGUUUGGUUUGCAAACUGUUUGGCUAGAGUAUGGAAGGGGAGACUGGAAUUCCGCGUGUAGGGGUGAAAUCUGUAGAUAUGCGGAAGAAUACUUGUGGCGAAGGCGAGUCUCUGGUCUGUUACUGACGCUAAAAUGCGAAAGUGUGGGGAGCAAACAGG